UUGCACGCUGGCGGCAUGCUUUACCCCUGCAAGUCGCACGGUAACAGGCCUUCGGGUGCUGACGAGUGGCGACCGGGUGAGUAAUGCAUCGGAACGUGCCCAGAGGUGGGGGAUAACGCAGCGAAAGCUGUGCUAAUACCGCAUGUGAUCUGAGGAUGAAAGCGGGGGACCAGGCAGCAAUGUUUGGCCUCGCGCCUUUGGAGCGGCCGAUGUCAGAUUAGGUAGUUGGUGGGGUAAAGGCCUACCAAGCCGACGAUCUGUAGCUGGUCUGAGAGGACGACCAGCCACACUGGGACUGAGACACGGCCCAGACUCCUACGGGAGGCAGCAGUGGGGAAUUUUGGACAAUGGGCGCAAGCCUGAUCCAGCAAUGCCGCGUGCGGGAAGAAGGCCUUCGGGUUGUAAACCGCUUUUGUACGGAACGAAAAGGCUCUGGCUAAUACCUGGGGCUGAUGACGGUACCGUAAGAAUAAGCACCGGCUAACUACGUG
rnacentral:rRNA from 1 species